UACAUAGGGUGCAAGCGUUGUCCGGAAUUAUUGGGCGUAAAGAGCUCGUAGGUGGUUCGUCACGUCGGAUGUGAAAACUCUGGGGCUUAACCCCAGACCUGCAUUCGAUACGGGGCGAGCUUGAGUAUGGUAGGGGAGUCUGGAAUUCCUGGUGUAGCGGUGGAAUGCGCAGAUAUCAGGAGGAACACCAUGGCGAAGGCAGGACUCUGGGCCAUUACUGACACUGAGGAGCGAAAGCGUGGGGAGCGAACAGG
rnacentral:rRNA from 1 species